UCGAGGAUCUUCGGCAAUGGGCGCAAGCCUGACCGAGCGACGCCGCGUGUGCGAUGAAGGCCUUCGGGUUGUAAAGCACUGUCGAGGGGGAGGAAAGCCCGCAAGGGUCUGACCUAUCCCUGGAGGAAGCACGGGCUAAGUUCGUGCCAGCAGCCGCGGUAAGACGAACCGUGCGAACGUUGUUCGGAAUCACUGGGCUUAAAGGGCGCGUAGGCGGGUUCGCCAGUCAGGGGUGAAAUCUUUCGGCUCAACCGGAAAAGUGCCCCUGAUACUGCGAGUCUCGAGGGAGGUAGGGGCAUGUGGAACUUCCGGUGGAGCGGUGAAAUGCGUAGAUAUCGGAAGGAACGCCGGUGGCGAAAGCGACGUGCUGGACCUCUUCUGACGCUGAGGCGCGAAAGCCAGGGGAGCAAACGG
rnacentral:rRNA from 1 species